rnacentral:tRNA from 14 species
AGAGCGUCUGCUUUACACGCAGGAUGUCGGGAGUUCGAAACUCUCAUG